rnacentral:rRNA from 1 species
AUUGAACGCUAGCGGGAUGCUUUACACAUGCAAGUCGAACGGCAGCGCGGACUUCGGUCUGGCGGCGAGUGGCGAACGGGUGAGUAAUGUAUCGGAACGUGCCCAGUAGCGGGGGGAUAACUACGCGAAAGCGUGGCUAAUACCGCAUACGCCCUACGGGGAAAGGGGGGGAGUCUUAGGACCUCUCACUAUUGGAGCGGCCGAUAUCGGAUUAGCUGGUUGGUGGGGUAAAGGGCCUACCAAGGCGACG